rnacentral:rRNA from 1 species
UACGUAGGGUGCGAGCGUUAAUCGGAAUUACUGGGCGUAAAGCGUGCGCAGGCGGUUUUGUAAGCCAGAUGUGAAAUCCCCGGGCUUAACCUGGGAAUGGCAUUUGGGACUGCAAGGCUUGAGUGCGGCAGAGGAGACUGGAAUUCCUGGUGUAGCAGUGAAAUCCGUAGAUAUUGGGAGGAACACCGAUGGCGUAGGCAGAUAACUGGCUCGUUCCUGACACUAAGGCACGAAAGCGUGGGGAGCAAACGGG